GAGGGCGGGGCCGGCGGCCAUCUUGUUGCCGUCACUGGCUCCUCGGGGGGUGGCGCUACGUGCGAGGCCGGGGCGCUGGCGGGGCGGCCUGCGGGGCAGGCGGCGGCGAUGAGCGCGGAAGCGGCGGACCGGGAGGCCGCCACCUCCAGCCGGCCGUGCACGCCGCCGCAGACAUCAUGGUUCGAGUUCCUGCUGGAGGAGGCGCUGCUGGAGCAGCACCUGCAGAAGCCCUCUCCCGAUCCACCACCAGUGCAGCUGAUUGUCCAGUUCUUGGAACAAGCUUCAAAACCCUCCGUGAAUGAACAGAACCAGGUUCAGCCACCACCUGAUAACAAAAGAAAUCGCAUUUUAAAACUUCUUGCACUUAAAGUUGCUGCUCAUCUUAAGUGGGAUUUGGAUGUAUUAGAGAAAAGCUUGUCAGUCCCUGUAUUGAACAUGCUACUGAAUGAGCUUCUGUGUAUCAGCAAAGUUCCUCCAGGAACUAAACACGUGGAUGUAGACCUGGCCAGCUUACCCCCAACCACUGCAAUGGCAAUUCUGCUCUACAACAGAUGGGCCAUAAGAACCAUCGUUCAAAGUAGCUUUCCUGUAAAGCAGGUGAAACCUGGUCCACCUCAGUUAAAUGUGAUGAACCAGAUGCAGCAAGAAAAGGAACUAACUGACAAUAUUCUGAAAGUGUUGAAAGAGCAGGCUGCUGAUUCCAUCCUGGUCCUGGAAGGAGCACUUAAAUUAAACAAAGAUCUUUAUGUCCACACUAUAAGAACUCUGGAUUUAUUAGCCAUGGAGCCUGGUAUGGUGAAUGGAGAAACAGAGAGUUCCACAGCUGGACUGAAAAUCAGUGCAGAGGAGAUACAGUGCCAGGUUUGCUAUGAUUUGGGUGCAAUCUAUUUUCAACAAGGAUCUACAAAUGCAGCCGUUCAUGAAAAUGCUAAAGAGAUGUUUUUCAAAACAAAGGAGUUGAUUGCAAAGAAUGGUUCCUCAUCACUUCAUUUUACCAUAGAUGAAGAACGGUUAGCUGGGUACUGUCAAGCAUGUGGAGUUCUUACCUCGUCUUCUGAUGAUACAUCUCAACAGGCAACUCCUUAUAGUCAAAUCCAUAGCUGUAUGAAAUCUGGCAAUUAUCAGGAUGUAGUGAAGAUAUUCCUUGAAGACAAUCUAACCCUCAGUUUACCUGUUCAGUUCAGGCAGUCAGUGCUGAGAGAACUCUUCCAAAAAGCUCAACAAGGGAAUGAUGCUCUGGAUGAAGUUUGCUUCAAAGUCUGCGUGUGCAACACAGUCUGCGAUGUAUUGCAGGGUCGAACAGUUGAUGUUCAGUUUUGUCAACUGUUCCUGAAACCCAGCAAAGAGAAAAUAGACUUCCUCCUUGAGGUUUGUUCGAGAUCAUUAAACUUGGAAAAUGCUUCUGAAGCGUUGAAGAGAAAAAUGGCAGCUUUCCUCAAAAACUUGUGUUUGGGUUUGGAAGAUCUUCAGCUUGUCUUCAUGAUUUCAUCUCAUGAGCUGUUCAUAAAACUGCUGAAAGAUGAUGAACGGAAGCUGCUCAUUGACCAAAUGCGGAAGAGAUCACCUCGGAUCAACCUGUGCACAAAACCUGUGGCUUCUUUUUAUGAUAUCCCAGCUUCAGCAAGUGUCAAUAUUGGCCAGCUUGAGCAUCAGCUCAUAUUGUCAGUAGAUCCUUGGAGGAUUCGACAGAUCUUAAUUGAGUUGCAUGGUAUGACUUCAGAACGCCAAUUCUGGACAAUUUCAAAUAAGUGGGAAGUGCCAAAUGUUUACGGCAAUGUUAUUUUAGGAAUCAAAGACAGUCUGACUAGGGAUUUGGUCUACAUCCUUAUGGCAAAGGGAUUACACUGCUGUGCGAUUAAGGAUUUUGUCCAUGCAAAACAGCUUUUUGCUGCUUGCUUGGAGCUUGUGACAGAGUUCUCUCCAAAACUGCGCCAAGUCAUGCUGAAUGAAAUGCUACUUUUGGACAUUUACACUCAUGAAGCUGGACCUGGUGCUUCUGGAGAGCGUCCUCCUUCUGACCUUAUAAGCAGAGUCCGAGGAUAUUUGGAAAUGAGAGUUCCUGAUAUUCCUCUCCGUCAAGUUAUAGCUGAAGAAUGUGUUGCCUUCCUGUUAAACUGGUGUGAGAAUGAGUAUUUGACCAUGCAAGUUCCAUUACCUCUGGUUCAAACUAAUCCUUAUGUGAAGCUGGGACAGUUGCUGGCUGCUACAUGCAAAGAACUUCCAGGUCCCAAAGAAAGCAGACGGACAGCAAAAGACCUUUGGGAAGUUGUGGUACAAAUCUGCAGCGUUUCCAACCAGCACAAACGCGGGAAUGAUGGCAGAGUGAGUUUGAUAAAACACAGGGAGUCUACGCUGGGCAUUAUGUACAGGAGUGAAUUGCUGUCCUUCAUCAAAAAGCUUCGGGAACCAUUGGUUUUAACCACAAUAUUGUCCCUGUUUGUCAAGCUUCAUAAUGUUCGGGAAGACAUAGUGAACGAUAUUGCAGCGGAGCACAUCUCCAUCUGGCCCUCCUCCAUCCCCAAUCUCCAGUCAGUGGACUUUGAAGCUGUGGCUGUGACAGUGAAGGAGCUGGUGAGCUACGCCCUGACCAUCAACGCAAACAACCACUUCUGGUUAAUUAUUCAGGCAGAUAUUUAUUUUGCAACGAAUCAGUACUCAGCAGCCCUUCACUAUUAUCUCCAGGCAGGAGCUGUGUGCUCAGACUUCUUUAAUAAGAUGGUGCCACCAGAUGUGUACACGGACCAGCGUGUGAGAGCUUCGGGCACUGCUCAGGGAUCCUCCUCAGUGUUCACAGCCCCAUCUGAGCUGUGCCUCCUUUCUGCCAGGCUGUGGUGGUGCAGGAGUCCCUGCUGGGACUGUGUUCUGUCACACGUGCCAGUGUGUGCCUGCCCCGCUGCUGUUCCAUUCCCACAUUCCAGCAGGCCUUGCCAGUAGGCAGCAGGAGAUAAAGGUGACACUUUUUAACAGGCCACAGCUUGGCUCUCACACCAGAAAUGCAGCGCUGGGGCUGUAGCACACACCAUAGCCCCUGUGAGGUCUCCUCAGGGAUGAGAGCUCAGUCCACCAGUGGAUGUGCUAGAACCCAGGAGUUGCUGGGAGUUAGGAUGGAGGCAGCCAUUUAGCUGGUCCCCUGCGUUUACAAAGCAUGAAAUGAAGUUGCAGUUUCUGUUCCAACACUGGCUUUUCAAAAGGUGUGUUCUGUUUUUAACCAUUCUGUAGGUGAUAAAAAGAAUGAUCAAGUGCUGUUCUUUACUCAACUGUCACACCCAGGUAGGAGGUGAAAUAUGGCAGUAAGUAAAACAUUGGCUUAUAUUUUGAUGUUAAUGGGGGGAAACUAAAAUGGAAUCCAGUUUUCCUUGUAAAUUCAAUCUGCACUAGUAGUAGAUUUUGUUCUUACUGUUGCUGUUAGGGUGCUAAGAGGGCUGAAAUUAGUGAGUAAAUAGGGGACAUACUUGGAAUGGCUGUAAAUAGUAGAAAGAGUCUGGGGUUUCUUUGUCCCUUUUUUCUCCUAGGAUAUGGAUAUAUUUUAUUUUCUGUAGGGCUGAGUACUUCCCUUUUUAGCUACUGUUGUUGUUAUUGCAGCAUGAGCUGUGGCUGCCCUUGCAGUUCAGGCGCUUGGAAGGUGCUCACUGUAGAAAUGAGCUCUGGCUCAGGUCUGGAGCAGGGGGAAUGCUACUGAGGGGUUCUGUGGGGGUUUGAGGCUUUGAAACCCACCCCAGGUCUCUCCUUGCAGGUAGCUAUUCUCUGCCAGUUCCUCAGAGAAGUAGACUACAAAACUGCGUUUAAGGCACUGCAGGAGCAGAACAGCCAUGAUGCCAUGGAUUCUUACUACGAAUACAUCUGGGACGUCACCAUCUUGGAGUACCUGACAUAUCUCCACCACAAACGAGGAGAGACAGACAAGCGGCAGAUAGCAAUAAAAGCCAUUGGGCAGACAGAGCUCAACGCCAGCAAUCCUGAGGACGUCCUGCAGCUUGCUGCCCAGAGGAGGAAGAAGAAGUUUCUUCAAGCAAUGGCAAAACUUUACUUCUAGGCUAAUAAUGGAAGGCCCUGAUAAAAUGGGUGGGAGUGGAAAAAAACAAUCUUUCAAGACUUUUAUUUUUUAAAUUCAUUUAAAUUUUUAUACAACA